GGGGAAUAUUGCACAAUGGGCGCAGUCCUGAUCCAGCCAUGCCGCGUGCAGGAUGACGGUCCUAUGGAUUGUAAACUGCUUUUAUACGAGAAGAAACACUCCGACGUGUCGGAGCUUGACGGUAUCGUAAGAAUAAGGAUCGGCUAACUCCGUGCCAGCAGCCGCGGUAAUACGGAGGAUCCAAGCGUUAUCCGGAAUCAUUGGGUUUAAAGGGUCCGUAGGCGGUUUAAUAAGUCAGUGGUGAAAGCCCAUCGCUCAACGGUGGAACGGCCAUUGAUACUGUUAGACUUGAAUUAUUAGGAAGUAACUAGAAUAUGUAGUGUAGCGGUGAAAUGCUUAGAGAUUACAUGGAAUACCAAUUGCGAAGGCAGGUUACUACUAAUGGAUUGACGCUGAUGGACGAAAGCGUGGGUAGCGAACAGGAUUAGAUACCCUGGUAGUCCACGCCGUAAACGAUGGAUACUAGCUGUUGGAAGUAAUUUCAGUGGCUAAGCGAAAGUGAUAAGUAUCCCACCUGGGGAGUACGUUCGCAAGAAUGAAACUCAAAGGAAUUGACGGGGGCCCGCACAAGCGGUGGAGCAUGUGGUUUAAUUCGAUGAUACGCGAGGAACCUUACCAAGGCUUAAAUGUAGAUUGACCGGUUUGGAAACAGAUCUUUUCGCAAGACAAUUUACAAGGUGCUGCAUGGUUGUCGUCAGCUCGUGCCGUGAGGUGUCAGGUUAAGUCCUAUAACGAGCGCCACCCCUGUUGUUAGUUGCCAGCGAGU
rnacentral:rRNA from 1 species